rnacentral:snRNA from 1 species
GUGCUUGCUUUGGCAGCACAUGCACUAAAAUUGUAACAAUACAGAGAAGAUUAGCAUAGCCCCUGUGCAAGGAUGACAUGCAAAUUUGUGAAGUGUUCCAUAUCUUU